CGAUGACCACGGGCUCAUGGGCAAGGGGAGCCGCUCGUCUUAGUGAGACUCCCGGAGCAGAAAGCAGGAAUUGCAAAACCGCUGCCGUUUAUAUAAAGGCGUGGAGUUUGCACUCUGUUUACAUCACCAAGGUCAGGAGUGUGUGAGAUUUGCACCUGAGCGCUCGGUUGCUCAGCUCAUUUCCAGGGUGUGCCCUGCAUGCCUGUGGACACCUUUAGCACUGACCUGUGAGCAAUUAACCUGGGAUCGUGGGGCACUCCCCAUCCCCAAGGCAGGAAUUGGCAAGGAACGCAAUUACGAGGACUUCCCGGCUGUCUCGCACCACCUUUCCGUACCCAUGACUCUCCUUCCAUCUUCUUGCUCCCUUUUCCACCCAGAAAAACAAGGUGGGAGUAGCACCAGAUGGUACCGGAAGAGUCACAGGCAGAGGCACGUGGGCAGAGCUGUGCGAGCGGUGUGAGGGGAGAGGAGAAAACGCUGUCACAAGCAGCAGCCUGACGAGGAUGACGCUGACCUGGUGUUAAAUAGCUUUAAAACUACCUCCCAACUGGGCUCCUCUGCCUAAGACCAGCCGUCCUGCAGCACCUUCCUGACACCUCUCAGCUCGCGCCGGGCACCACUCGAAGCAGCCUGAUCCACGUCUGUAGCUCCACGGUGUGUGGUGGAGGGCAGCUCUUGCCAGCACCGAUCCCACACGGGAAGGGGCAGCUACAGGCUCACAGACCUCUCACGGGGCUCUGGUGUGCUUCAGUGUCAGCAGAUGAAGGGCAACCGUGUUGGAGAGCACUUUCCAAGCUAGAGAUCCUUCCAUGAGCUUUUCCCAUGGUUGGACAAGAAUAUCCCCUAACGGUGCCCCCACUUUGUGGAUAAAAACCAUCUCAAGCUACAGCUUUCCCCAAAUGCUUCCAAGUCACCGCUUUACUACAGGAACCCACGUUAUCCUUUAU